rnacentral:rRNA from 1 species
GACGAACGCUGGCGGCGUGCUUAACACAUGCAAGUCGAACGAAGAGCGAUGGAAGCUUGCUUCUAUCAAUCUUAGUGGCGAACGGGUGAGUAACGCGUAAUCAACCUGCCCUUCAGAGGGGGACAACAGUUGGAAACGACUGCUAAUACCGCAUACGAUCUAAACUCGGCAUCGAGGAUAGAUGAAAGGUGGCCUCUACAUGUAAGCUAUCACUGAAGGAGGGGAUUGCGUCUGAUUAGCUAGUUGGAGGGGUAACGGCCCACCAAGGCGAUGAUCAGUAGCCGGUCUGAGAGGAUGAACGGCCACAUUGGGACUGAGACACGGCCCAGACUCCUACGGGAGGCAGCAGUGGGGAAUCUUCCGCAAUGGGCGAAAGUCUGACGGAGCAACGCCGCGUGAGUGAUGACAGCCUUCGGGUUGUAAAGCUCUGUUAAUCGGGACGAAAGGCCUUCUUGCGAAUAGUGAGAAGGAUUGACGGUACCGGAAUAGAAAGCCACGGCUAACUACGUG